rnacentral:lncRNA from 1 species
GUCCUCCUAUACAUUCCUCUCGCUUUUCGUCCUUUAUUCUCGACGACGACCAGCCUCCUCCUUCUUUCUUCAAGGCUGCGCGGGGCCCUCUCCUCGGAUACCACUUUGUCCAUACCCCACAUCACCCGCAUACCCCCCCUGUCUCCCUAACAUCCGAUCCGCUCUCGCUGCUCGCUGCUCGCUGUAUUACACUCGCAUCUAUCCACACACUUCAACGCAUCAGCAAUGGAAAUCUACACGACAUCUUUCACUUAUCCUCGUCGCCUGCGACACGCUCAUUCACCCACCAACUCCCUCGACUUCCCUCCUCGCUCCAACGAACUUCGCCGCGCUAGCUCCUACUCCGCCAUUCAGCAGCCGAAUGGUCUCGACCCACACGGCGGCGCGUCCCAAGCCGACUACGAAGCUCUCCAGAAGCUGGGCAUGAUGGCCAUGAGCCUCCAUGGCGUCCACAUCUCCUUCACGCCGGCCGACCAAGGACGCGCUUGGAACUUCCAGGUUUCCGGAACCUACCCGCAGGUCAUGUCAGCGAGGGGUAUGCUUCUGAAGGGAUGUCCGGUGCAGGUACGUUCCCCUUCGUCGCCAUCAUGUCUGCAGCACUGAGCGACCUCUGCGGUGCCCAGAAUCGGUCGUCUAUCAAGGUCGCGCGGUCGGAGAUCCUCGAUUCACCCUCUUUGAAGCCCACGCUUAAGCCUGAGGUUCGCCGUCGCCUCGACGACAUCGCGUCGCAGACCUACGCCCACAUUGCCGUCGUCAACAGCCCGUUGUCAUUGUCCACGCGCACCCUCCCCGAUGCUAUUACGAGUAGCGCCGGGUGGACCGGUCUCGAGUCCGAGCGGGUUUGCGAGCUCGUCAUCACCGGACACGGGGACUCCGUGGACCUUGCCCGUGUUCGCCUGCUUGUCAUGUUGGACGAACUGGUGGGCACACAUCAUUCUGUGGCGUUCGCGUUCACGUCUAACGUGCUGCACAGAGCGGUCUUCACGCCGAGUCGUGCGAAAUCGAGAACACCCUCCAUGCCAUCAUCGCAGGCAGGAAGCGGGGUGUGCUGCAGACAAUCCAGGAGGAGACCGCAACAAACAUCUAUCUUCCUUCUCCGCUUCAAGGGGUCUUGGGCAAUGAUCUUAGCCAGUCACCGUCGAGUACCUCGUCUAACGGCGCGGUGAACAAGGUCAACAUGAACACGAUCUUCAUCACCGGCGAGUUUUUCGGCGUUCAACGCGCGCGCGACAUGCUGUUCCAGAUGUCUCUUAGCAAGGUUCGCGUUUCCAUGACGGCACCCGCGACCUGUGCUGGGUGCUAAUACUUGAUUUGGAUCACAGAGCAAGCAGCUCAUCUCUAGGGACAGCGCAGUCCUGCCGCGCAAGAUGGAUUGGAUGGUCACCGAGCGUGCGGAGGAUCUCAAGACCCUCAUGCACGACAACGCAACCUUUAUUCAGUUCCCACCUAUCGGUAGUUCUACAAGUUUAAUUACGGUGAUCGGCGACAACCGAGUCAACGUUCAACGGACCAUCAGGUCUAUAAUGCAACUGGUAUGUUUCAGUGUAUGCAUGAUACCUUACGCAUCAGAUUUGUUUAACUGCUCUCAUCUUACAGGCUUGCCAAUUCUACGUCGCCUCGUUGUGGUUGUUGCCCGCCCAAUUCAAUGUUCUUAUGCCCUCGACGAGCUUGAACCCUUCUCAAGUCUCGGCGAUCCUAAAGCAGGUGUCCUACGCCUCCGGAGCAGAGAUAGUCUUUAAGGGCAUGUGUUUCGAGAUGCAUGGCUUGGAACAUGAAGUUCGUGCUGCUGUUAUCAUGCUCCUCGACCUGGAUGUUGUCAAGGUAUAUUUUGUUCCCUCCCUGUUUCCAUUGCAGGACUUCAUCUCAUCACGACUUAGACGUUCCAUCACGAGAUCCGCUUCCAAGUCGAGCUUGCGAAUGAGCACCGCGAGUUCAUUAGUGGCAAGAAGAACGGCAAGAUCAACAAGAUUAUGCAGACGACGAACGUCAAGAUCAAGUUUGAGACGUUCAAUGAGCACAACUUCCUCAUCGAUAUCGCGGGAAGUGACGCGUCCGUUCUGCAAGGCCUCACGCUGUUGCAGGAGGAGCUUCCAGCGGAGAUCUCGUUCCAUGUCCCCGAGUCGUACCAUAAGCGCAUCAUUGGUGUAGGUGGUCGUAGCAUUCAGCGUAUCAUGAAGAAAUACGGCGUCUACGUCAAGUUCUCGAACGCGGAGGAGUUCGCCGCGAUGGGCGGGUACAACGACAACGAGGACAAUGUCGUUGCUCGCACUCCCGCGAAGAACGCCAUGAACCUUGACAACCUUAAGCAGGCCGUUAUGGAGCUAGUGAACCCCAAGGUCAGUUUAACAGCGUUCGUUUCUCAAUUAGUCCUUGUCUGACACUGCAUCGUAUAGGACAAGGAUUACAUCAAUGAAACGGUCUCCAUUCCAAGGCGGUAUCACCGCACCCUGCUCGGCGAAAAGAGUAUAUUCAUUCACGACAUCGAAACGAAGACCAACUGCUCUGUUCGCUUCCCUGACAAGGAAACCGCCUCCGACCUCGUCACGAUCUUCGGGCCCGAGUCGCAGGUCCAGAUCGCAGCCACGAUGCUCUUUGUGCGUCUACUUUGCCCAUUUCGCGUUUUCAUAUCACCUAACCCUGCUAUAGGACCACGUUCCGUUUGAAGCCGACAUGGCCGUACCCCCGCACCCUGACCUCGCCAGGAUAUGCUCCUCUCCGGACUUUGUCAGCUUUACUGAGCGCGUCAAACGCGACCUCCAGGUUAUCAUCUCUCCGAACGUCAAGACGGCCGCUGUGAACGGCUCCAUUCCGGAAGUGCCUUCCGAAUGCUCGUUCAAGUUCCGAUGUCAGCGCAGCAACAGCGACUUCCUCGUCACCGCUCGGGAGAUGCUUGAGCAAUUCCUCAUCGAGCAUAACGUGCAUGUUUAUCCCUCUGCCACGUCUCGCACGCAUCAACGCGGUGACUCUUUCACCGACGCCUUCCCGCACUUCGACAGCAAAGUUCUUUCAACCGCAAGAACACGUCAUCAAAGUAU